AGAGUUUGAUCAUGGCUCAGAACGAACGCUGGCGGCAUGCCUAACACAUGCAAGUCGAACGAAGGCUUCGGCCUUAGUGGCGCACGGGUGCGUAACGCGUGGGAAUCUGCCCUUGGGUUCGGAAUAACAGUUAGAAAUGACUGCUAAUACCGGAUGAUGUCGUAAGACCAAAGAUUUAUCGCCCAGGGAUGAGCCCGCGUAAGAUUAGGUAGUUGGUGGGGUAAAGGCCUACCAAGCCGACGAUCUUUAGCUGGUCUGAGAGGAUGAUCAGCCACACUGGGACUGAGACACGGCCCAGACUCCUACGGGAGGCAGCAGUGGGGAAUAUUGGACAAUGGGCGAAAGCCUGAUCCAGCAAUGCCGCGUGAGUGAUGAAGGCCUUAGGGUUGUAAAGCUCUUUUACCAGGGAUGAUAAUGACAGUACCUGGAGAAUAAGCUCCGGCUAACUCCGUG
rnacentral:rRNA from 1 species